GCGCGGGGAAUGCCCCGAGCGGCGGCGCGGGGAGCGGGGGCUGCCGCAGUGCUUUUCUGGGCCGCCCGCCCCGCUGCGGGGGAGCCCGGCCGCGCCGAGCCGAGUGGGGCGCUGCUGCGGCUCGCCGAUCCUCCAGCGGCCCUGCGCGGCCGCCUCCUUCCGCGGGAGGAAGUGGGUCUCAGCGGCAGAGGCUCCCAGGAAGCCGCCCCGGGGCCCUGCGUGCUGCUGGCCGUCCGAGGGGUCUCCCCGAGCCGUUUCGAGUGGGUAGAAAAGGGGCGUUGGCGCUCUUCAUUUUACCGGUUCCUUGGCAGCGUUUCCUCUUGGGUUUGCGGGGCGAUUUAGCUCAUCUCUGAGGCAUCCCCCUGCUCCCCCUUCCUACGGCUGGCACAUUAGUUAGUAACCGAAGUUCAGGGAAGCCGGGUGUCUCAUUAGAUCAAUUUCUAAUUCAUGUUUCCCGUAUUUAUUCUUGUGAUGUUUUCUUUCCUUUGUCUCCUGCAUUCAACGGUGCCUGUACCAUCCCCCAUGUCCUCCUUGUGAUCGCUCUGACAGCGCCAACCACGCUGCCUUCCUGCGCUUAGAAUCUUUUUUCCCCUCAAAGUGAUCCAGUCUGUGUUUCCUCACUUCUCAGCCCUUUCCAGCCCUAAAUUUCUUAGGCUUUGUGUGUAACUGAACGAGACCUAGAAGGUGAAAGCUAGCUUGGUGAAAGCCAGCUGUUCUGUACUGUUUUUUCACAUUUCCAUCACACAAAGAACAAGAUCUGUCAGGAGGGCCAAAUCUGAGCUGAUUUUAGUGACAUGAUUUUGAACUUAAAGUACCAGGGCAUAGGUCGCUUGGGCCAGAAUUUGGAAAAUGGGUUGCUUUUUUUCCCUUUGGCUAUCUGCUUAUCCUUGCUGCCUAGCUGCUCUCUUGCUUUUGUCAGUUCAAAUUCGGUGUCACAGGGCCUUUUCCCAUCUUCAUGCAGCCCAAGGUCUGCAUGUGGGUCUCAGCUUCCCCACACUCCUUGUGGAUGCUGAGUGAGGCCAAAACUGCUUCAUUCUGCAGGCACGUCUGUACUUUGCUGUGUCUAGGUGGAGACUAGAGAACAUUUUCAUUUGCAGCAGUAAGCCCCUGAUCUUAAGAAACUCUAUGCAGCUUAUUCAAGCCAGGCCUUCUCCACAGUAGGGCCAAGCGGGAGCUGCCUUCACAGGAGCAGUGCCAGCUGAAAAUUCCCCUGCUUCCAGCUCUGUUGACCCUUCCAACAGCACAAGCAAACCAGAACACAGACAAGUAUGUUUCCCAGUAAACAGAAAUCAAUUGCUCUUGCCUAAAAAAGGAGUGCAAACAUGAAACCACUUCUUAAAUGCAGAGAAAUUCACUUUGCUUGUGCUGAUGGAAAUUUCUAGUGAAAUCGGUUUACGAUAAAAAGAAGUAAAUAUGACUCAGAAACAAACGUUCUGUUUAUACAGACUAAACAUGAUUACCGUGGUAUUUUUGCAUGUUUUCAAGAUGUAGGAUAGCUACCUUACAUUUGCAAAACUUGUGGGAUUUUUAAUAACACAGAGAAAGCAGACACUCAAGCUUUGAACUUUCUGGUAAUGCAAAGAUACCCCUUACAGAUCUCCUUUAAAGCUCAGGACCUACCAGUUCCUGCUAGACCUACCAGUUCUCCUGAUCUUUGAAUGCUAAGUAGAUGAUGUAUGUUUUGUUUUAUCUCAUUCAAUUUGAAGGCUAUUUUGGGUAUGUAGUAACAUUAGAAAUGAUAGUGUGCAAGUUUAUUAUGUGCAUGGUUUGUAAAACAAGUUUCUGAGACAGCACAGUAAGGAGUGCAGCAUGUCCAUUUAUUGCAGCACAUCCAAGUAAAUGCUGUUCCGAAGUACAGAGAGAACGUGGGUUAGAAGUUUAUGAAGCCGUGUUUUUAUAUAUUAAAAAUAUCAGUAAAAUAUGUUCAUUUUACUUGAUUCGUAAGUCUGCUGUUGAUACUUCUGUUAUUACAGGAAAAGAAAUUAUUACAAAUAAAGGAAGAAACUAAAAAAAAAUGAGCAGUUGAGUCACUCAAGAAAUAAGGGGGAUCAAGACUGAUCACAGUGUAAUUAGAGUAUUUUAGGGUUUUCCACUUGUAAUGGGGAGAAUAAUGAAUUUUUAAGAGGGAAGAACACUUGAUAUCCAUUUGGCCUUUGUAUCUGUCACUACCUCAUGACCUCAAAUGAAGAUUUUCACAUCUGGGCAAAAAACAGUGCUGAAGGAAGACAGUGACAGGCUUAAGUUUGAAAUGUAGGCACUGGUUUUGAUUGAUUUAUCCCAUGAGUCUAGUUUUAUAACUAUAGCUAUUGAUUUGUUUUAUUAUUUAGAGGAUUAUGUAGCAAUCAAUCAUAUUUCCAUCUAGCUAACCAUGAUUAUUAAUAUUUUAAACUAGUUUUAAGAUGGAUUGGCUGGUGAGCGUAAUAGGUCUUCUCUCUAACCCAGCGAGAAUAGAAUACACCCAGGUCACAUGGAAUGAAUUAUUGCCACUGGACAAUUUGAUGAAAUCUACAUCAGCCAUUAGAAUCUAAAUCCAUCAGUAGGAAUACAGUGCUGUCAGGGGACUGAGAUUUCCUGCUUUGAAAAUGAACAUUUGACUUUACCUCUACAUUUCUUCAAUGAAAGUAUAUAGUUAUUCUGUGACAGUAAAAGUAUGGGAGCUAAAUCAGUGGAGUUCAUAUAACGGUAGAUGGAAACCCUACAGAAACAUGCAUUUUUAACACAAUGUACAUGGAAAGCAGUUACUUCCCUGCCAAGAGGCAAGCUCAAGAUUCUUUGUCACUGCAUCAGGAGUCAGCGACCUCGCAAUCAGCGGCAGUGUGGGAAAGCAUUGUGCUAAACUACAAGGGAUGUGUUCGUUUGCAGGGGAAGGACUGAAAGCCUUGGCAGGUUAUUAAAAGAGGAAGUGGUUUCCAAAUACAAUAUUCUGUUUUGAAAUGCAAUUGUUUUUUCUAUUGGAUGCCAAAAAAUUCUGAAGAAUGCAAUAUCCUCUAACUAAUUGUAUCUGUGCUCUGAGAAAAGAAACAGGGCUAUUGUUCUCCUCACAGCAUGAGCUAUUUAUAUGUUAGUCUGUGUAGCACUCCUUUCUGUAAUGAUUGUCUUCCACCUACGCAAAACUCCAAUCCAUUUAAAAUAAUCAAAUUAAGACAGUUUCUUGCUUUCUUACAUCAAGCUGCUAUUCAUAUAAAGUGUUUUCUAGGUUACUUGGAUUUAGUACAAGGCCUCUAGGCUAAAUAUAAUACAAUUCUAUUACCUCACUGGACCAAACCCCUUCCUUUCUGAUGAAUGUAAGCAGGAAGCAGUAACACGAAGGAGGUACCCCUUGAAAGAAGCAAAAAGGGGUAUACUUCUGCUAAGAAGAGCUGUAGCCAUUUCUACCAUGAUUUCUCUAACUGGGAGCUGGUCAUUGUUUUAGUUGCACUUUGCUUUAGCUGUGUAUAUUUCCACAUAGGCACAUUGUGGAAAGUUACUAUUUGUUCUUGUAAACCUCGUUUUUGGCAAGCAGGAAAGAGUUAUCAAAGUGAAAAUAGUAGGGGAUUAUCUACAUUAUCUACAUUUGAGAUUUUAAUUUGCAUAGCUAUACAGGUGUUUGGAGACUGAUUAAGUGCUGCAGAAAUUACCAGAAGACUAAGCACAUUACCUGUGCUUAUUUCCUAUCACAACAUUAUCAUUUUUUAGCAUAUAAAUAUUUGUAAUGUAUGACAUGAUAUAUACAUAUGACAUAUUGUCACUGUUUUCUUCCUCUAUAUUGCUAAACCUUUUAAUUCCUAUAUGUAACAUCACAAUAUCCUGUCACAAUGCUACUUAAAUACUGUUUCUCAUUUCCUCACACCUUGCAUCUCUAAAUUUUGAAGAAUAUUUAUCAGUCAUGUAGAUAAUGAUUUCAGUAUCUUUACAAUAUCAGAAUUGAUGCUUUUAUUUAUACCUGGCAUUUGUGGUAUUUGUACAUACAAAGUAUCUACCAGUUGUGUAUAUUGUUUUGAUCUGGAGCACUGUUUAAGUGGAAAAUCUAGUUUCAUUGCUUUUUUUUUUCUUGACUGUUUUCUUCUUCCAGAUGGAGAUUCCUCCAGGUAAUGUAAAUGAAGUCUUUCCACUGGCUUCAGCAAGAGUCAGUUUACUCCUUGUAGAAGGAAGUUAAUAGCAUGGAGACAGCCCCUUUUUGUACAGUUCUGCCUGGGUUUGCGAACAAAUACUAGACACUCCUUUAUUUCUCUACUACUGCUCUGAAAGACAGGAAGGACAUCCUGCUUUUCAAAACAAAAGAUACUAAGCCUACUUCAACUAGGUCAAUUACCAUACUCAGAUAGAAAAUGGUGAGGUAUUUUCUGUAAAUUGUCUAAAAAAUGAGGCUUGUGCCUUGGACAAUACAUCACUAUAAAACUCUAGCCUAGUGAAAUAUUUUGGUUUGUUUUUUUAUAUUUUGUGUUGGAGACUAAAGGUAGUGAGCAAUGAAGGUCUGCAGAUAAUGAGAACUGGUCACAUGUAUGUGCACACCUCUGCUGCUUGUGCCUUUCAGGUACCAUUCUGGGAUACUAUUCUCUAUGAAACAGAAAUCUGAAAUGGCAGGGGAAGAGGCUCCUAUUCUUCUCUAUUUCUUUUAUGCAGGUUCAGUGUCUCAGACAGAAUAGCUUCUUCAUGGCAAGUAAAUUGCUUCACAGAAAGUCAUUAUUCACUGAAUUGAUUAGAAAUGCCAUCAGUGAGUCCCAGAACCUUUGUAUCAUUGCCAAUUCAAACUACUUAGUGGAUUUGAAAUUAAAGCACAAAAUACACAGAGACUCCUGCAGUUACAAGACUGUAGGUGUCCAACAUCUUGGUUUUUCCUUAUUGUAAUGGUUGCUCUCUCCAGAGUGUUUCGGGACUUAAAUGAAAUUACUUUCAGUCAUGACAGCUGGUUACUUUCCUGUAAUACUGUUACAUAAAACUUAAGUUUGUUCUAGCAAAGAUGGUAGCUGUUCCAGUGAAGAUGAAACCAGAUCAUUCUCAAAUUUCUCUUUUUAAUACUGGACAGGAAGGUGUAGAGAGACAUGGGAAUAAAAGAAGUGUGAGCAGAACUAAGAUCCAACUUAGAGUAUCAGAAAAGGCACAUGAAAACAGAACCAGUGUGCAUAGUGAAUGCUGGAAACAAAAUGAGACACAGGAAGUCUGGGGAUAGAAUGAAAUGAGCUGAGGGAAACAUAGGCUGCCACAGCAAGAACUGAGUGCCCAUACAGAAAACCCAUUGUUUUCUGUGCCACAGGUAUAUGAUAUAUUGUUCAUGUGCAGAGACUUCCUUAUAUAUUCUGGAGAUCCCUGUACAUGCUCAGAUCAACUAUAUUUUGGAGUUUUUUGUGCACUGGCAACUGGUUGCCUGACUACUUUGAAAUUUAUAAUGGCAGCUUUUGAGAUGUCAGUAGGAGAUAGCAUUUGCAAAACAAGCACUACAGAUAGAGAAGGGGAACAGGAGGAGAACUGGGAUGGAUGAAACAGAAUGCAAGAGAGAAGAUAUGGAAAAAAAAAAUCAGGAAAUUAGGAAGUAAGUAGAUGUAGUGCUUUAUCUGUGAGUCCAGGCCAAAGGCUUUUACUGUUUUGUAAUCUUAACAACACUAACUAUGCAGGGGAGAUAGGUAGAAUUGAGAUGUUAUUUUUUUACUGACUCAGCUAGUUGCCUUACCCUUCUGCAGAAAGUUGUUACACCCCGAGGGAGAGGAGACAGAACCAUACCUAUUUCCCUGUAUAGUGUGACAAGUAGCUUUAACCACCAGUGAGGACAUAGAGGCAGGCAGCCAUGUGUGUAUUUAUAUGGUGGUGUUAGAAUUGGAAGACUCCAUCCAAGUGAGAGAGAAAAAAGGGUGGCAUAAGACCAGAAGAAUAUAGAUGACAGCUCCUAUCUACUCAUUGAAAGAAAUGCUUCCUCUUAGGUAACAGUGAUAAAUUUUACAUAGCUACAUGUGCAUUUAAGGUUGAAUAAGACAAUUGAUUAAAAUUAUAUGGAACCUAUAGACUUUUUCUGACACUGAAAAUAGCAAAGUGCAUCUUCAAAUGAGGUUAAUAAUUUCUACAGUUGUAAGGAUAAAAAAAAAGAAGACGCCACUCAUAAAUUCCAAGCGAUUUAAGUAUGGAAUUCCUCACCAAUUUCUUUUUGUGUAGCUGCUUGCUUUGCCAGAUUGCUGAUUGAUCAACUAAACUAUUCUCUAAGUCAAGCACAGCAUUUUUCAAGUUCUGUUUCAUCACAGUAUAAAAUAAUUAGAGCUAUAAACAAAAAAGAAGCAGGAAUGCCACAGUCCCCCACAUAUCUAUUAGUUGUCAUCUGUGGAGUCUAACUGUUACACAGAAGCAUGUUAAAAUUAAAUGGUGAGAUUUAUUUAACAUACUUAUUUGUUCUUUCUUUACUUUACCAUUCUUCAUUUCAAAUCUCUUUUCUUCACAACAUGGCAUAUUCCUGGCCAUGCAGAUACUUAUACUCCCAGUAAAUUACUGCACAAUUAUACUUACUUUAUAAAAACAAACAAAAAUUCAGUUGGAAUUCAGUUGGAGCUUCUGUAGCCACUACAUGCAUGGCUUUAGAAUUAGUUAAGUAUUUUGCAGGACAGAUAGUAAUUUAUAUCAGUUUAUAGACCAUACAGAAUUUAGGAUAAAUGUCUAGUAGAAAUUAAAACAAAAAAAAAAAAAAAAGAGGAGGUAACUAUGUACUUGAAAUUCUAUAUUGGUGUGAUUUAAUCUCUUAAUCUCAUUAGCUUCAUUCAAUAUUUUGUUUUGAAAUAUUAAUUUACCUUUUUUAUAAUUCAUCAAAACAGUUUAUUUUGCCCACCAAUAGGCUCUCCAUAGAAACAGUUGUAUCUUAGUAACAUACCAAGAAUACAGAUCACGGAAUGCACUGCAUUUGUAUAUACUGCCCUUAAAGACCCAUUUCUAGUUGUUAUAAGGGAAGGAGAGAGUUUCCUUUCUGCAAUUGUAGCAAACACAGCACUUCAAUACAACAAUUCGGUGCUUCCUAGGUUGAUCUCCUUACACAUGAGAUACAGGUAAUUUCUGCCUCUUAUGCCUUGCCCUUCAUAGGAUCAUGUCAGCAAAGAUGUCAGACACCUGUCCUUUAUAGCUGGGGCUUUAUUUUUUUGGUUUUGUUUUAAUUGGAUGCUAGUUGAUGAAGUGUGUGAAUAAUUCUUGCUUUUGACCCUUGUCAGCUAAAUUCAAAACUGUUUCUACUACUGCUCCUGUUUGUUUGGAUUUUUUUUUUCUGUAGCAGGUCCUACUACAUAGAAAAAUUUUGAAAAUUGUUUUGCUGGUAUCACCUUGUGUGGAUCUGUAGCUGCUCUGUAUGGCACUCCUUUUCUACACUCCAGAUGACUCUAGCUUUACCAGCUCUCUUCUCAUUGUGUUGACUCUCUCCUUUCUGCUCUUCCAUGCUUGCUGUAGGGCGGCUGUUUGUCCUCUGGCACCUUUGUUCUCUCUGUCCCUCACAAAGCUGAAGUGAUCCAAGGGAAUGGUUACGAUGACAUUUGAGCUUCUCUGCAGCAAUGUGUUGAUAUUUACACUUAGCUGAUUAUUGGCAAGUGGAGCACAUGACUAUAUUGUAAAAUCUGCUUAGUUUAACCGGCACUUCAGGGGAAAAGAAGCGGGAAGUAGAGUGAUGCAGGGUCUAUGUGUCGCUCCUUACACAGUUGGUGGGGGCUGUGCCAUUACUUUGUCUGGGUGGUAAGGGAUGAAGUGUGCUUUUCAGCUGACUCUCACACUGCUUUGUAGUUUUUAUUUGCAGCAUAUUCCCUAGCUUGACUGGUACUGUUCUCUGCUUCAAAAUAAACCAGGCCAUUUAAUGCUAGGGUAGAGAGGAGGGUGUCCUAACCCCAGCCCUCCUCACCUUAAAAGAAGCUUUUAAGAUGUCAAGCAAAGAACAUCCCAUCCCAGGUUUUGAUUAAGGAAAAGAGUAGUUACCAGCUUUGGUCUCAGGCACAGACUAAAUGAGGGAAUGAAGGCAGAGGCAUGAUACCUCUUGUCUCAGCACACAGUUAUUAAAAGAACAUGUCUGGAGGAAAAAAAGAGGCCCAGGAACCCAGAGAAACCAGACAGAUUUAACAAGAAUUUCUCUUACCCUCUGUGUGGGGAGGCAGAGGGAAAGCAUCUUGCUGAAACAUGGUUUCAGAAAUUUUAUAUUGGUGUGGUUAAUCUAAAUUUGCAGCAGUAGCAAGUGAGCUAUUUCAGAAUACAAAAUGGGGACACUGGGAGGGGUCUUUUUUUUGUUUCGUUUCAAGGAAAUGUUAGGGUACUGUGAACUGCCAGUUACUUUCUAGGAGGCUGAAGUAUAGAAAAGAAGCAGCAGAGCUUUGGAAGUAAUGGGGCUUUGACACCCCUCUCUACCAAUCUGUAUAUGCUCACCUAACUCUAGAGAUACUCUUUUUCUCACUUCUUUUUGGCUAUGGUAUCUUCAUGCUCAUGUCUCAGUCAGCUGUUGGUCCUCAUUCUACAGCUUGCAUAAUUUUUGCAGCCACAGGUCACUUCCUGCAUCUUCCACGUGGGUGGAAAUGGGGCAGGCCAGGGACCUUUUCCAAGAUGAGAAUGGGUGGGAAAAAGAAUAUAGAGAAUAGAAUAGAAGAGCAAGAAUGUUGAUAUUUUUGUAUUGAUUGAUAUUCUUGUAUUGAUACCUUGUAUUGAUUUCAAUAUCACCUGCAGUGAUAUUGAAAGGUGGUCUGUUAUGGAGGGAAGAGAUUCAGCCUAAAGCAGCUGAUCUUCUCUCCUAGGCCCUAGCAGAACCUGCAGAUUGCUCCCUCAUUAGCUGUCAAAGAAGGCUGUGUCCACAGUAGCAGUUAAUUUCAAAGCAACAGCGUGCUUUGGGGUAAAAUCUUGUCAUUAUCUCCACUUAGCAUGUGUUGUUUCAGUUCCCAAAGUGGUUUUGGUGCAUACAAACCAAAUUCCUUCAGGAGGAAAUGAAAACAGAAGCUCUGUUUCCAAUCUGCUCCACAUGCACCCUAGUGCUAAUGGGGACAAGAAGUUCCAAAAUAACAUGUAAGCUGCAUCAUCACAAGGUCUUCUAGCACAUACCUAACACUUCUUCUCAGAAAGCUUUAAAACACAUGUAUAGCGGAGGUGUUUGGCUCCAGUGACCAGGCUAAAUAUAAUCUAGAAUAAACCCCCAAAACGCAUAUAAUGGAAAAAUGAGGUGUCUUAGUAUCAACUAUUUCAUUCUACCAAUCCAGUCCUUAUGUGCUGAAUUAAUUUCUUCUGAAAAUACUGCUUACUUUUUCUAUACCUUAAGCUGGCUUUGGGAAAUGCCAAAUUUAACCUAAAUAUGUACCUAGAAUGUUUCUCGUAUCUGGCAAUGGGGUGCCCACACAAUUAUAUAUGUUAGCCCUUUAAUCACUAAAGACAGCUCUCUAACCACUAUUAAAGAGCUAAUGUUGGUCAUCUUAACUUGAAUGAAAGACAUAAAGCAAAACCUGCCAGCAAUCACAAUAGUAGGUAUGCUGGUACUGUAGCUAAGGAUAUAGGGAGAGUUGUGGAAUUGUAUCCCAGGGUGGGUAAAGGCACAUAGGCUGAAAACUGCACUCAGUAAGAUGCCUACUCACCAAAACAAAAAAAGGCAGACAUAGCUGAGUGAAUAACAGUGACAAUGUCAUUCUCUCCUGAAUGGAAACUACUAUGUGCCUGCUAUGAGGGUAGAAGAAACCAGUGUUUAAGCCAGAAUGAUGAAAGAUGUAACAGUCUACAUUUACCAAUAUAAUUACAAAAUUAUAUAAAUUCUUAACUGUUGUAUUGUCUUCCCCCCCUCCCCCCGCCCCCCUCCCCCCCACUUUUCCUAUGAUUUCCAUUUAUUUAUGAGCUUCUUUAUUUGCAUAGCUCAGUGGCAGCACUGAUGUAAGCGUCUGCAAGUACCCGGUGCUCUGUGCUGCUAUUGUCACUUACAGUCAAGAUUUAGUUACAGCUGCUCCCAGAAGCCAUAAUGUGCCCUCAUCCCUCCCAUAUCCUACUGUGAAUUGAAAACAUGUUCUAACAACAUCUUAUGAAACGACAUGCAAAAUUAUGGAGAUAAGCUUUUCAGAUGGAAAAUUUUAGUGUUCUUUAAGAAUCUGUAAUUUGUACAGUUUAAUCUUUAUUUUUUUUGCCAUGUCAGAUAAACCUAGACAUUCUGCUCUCAGAUGAUAGCAUGUUUGGAGAUAUGAGAGAAACAGGGAGCUGCUGGAACAUAUUGCAGAAGCCUAAAGCACUUAGCAACAGAGAAAGUGUGGGCUGCAACGACAGAAGCCAGAAUGUGGAAACAAGUGACAUCGAGGCGGCUGUUUGGGAAAGAAGAGCUUUUACUUUGUUUAUAAUUUCAGUAAUUCUAAAGAACUUGGCAGUGUGGGAGGUCACUGCAGUCUCUGACUCUGCAGAUAUCCUUUUCUGUGUGCCUGUUUUUCAAAUGCCUAUGAUAAUUAUUACCAAGAGUGCUGGAUGUUCUAAUUUCCUUUUGUAUGCUUUUGUAUUUCCCGUUUCUCAAAAACUAGAGAAGUAAAAUUAAUGUAUUUGUUUUGCAUCAGUUUAUUCUAUUCAUACUCAUGUGGCAGGCACUGUGAAUAGUUUUUUAAAUGAUAAUGAUAAUGUCUUCUGGAGUGAUGCAAUCAUUUACCAUGAUGCUUUUUAGCGCUUUGCACUAGAACAUCCUGAUAGUGUGCACUAAUGGUAGUGUGGAUUUCAAAUAACUGCUAAAGAAAAGAUGCCUGAAGUGUUGAACAGGGUAAAUUGAGUUGAGAUAAAAUAAAAAUUUUUCUGACAUGAGAGUGACUUUUACAAGGGCAUUCAGAAAUCAGUGCAUUUCUAAGUUCUGCAGGUACUACUGAGGUAGAAAUUAUCUGGAGAACUUCACUCACCACUUACUGGGGAUUGUUUUACCUAAUGCAUAUGCACCUGUAAAUGCCAAAAUCUUCUUUCCUCUGAAAACUUAUUGUGCACAUUAAGUGCAGGGGCUGCACAGCUCUAGGGUUGAAAAAAAAGGCCUUAGGCAACACAGGACACUUCAAGGAACUUGGAAACCUUACCAUAAUUAUUGCAUUUGUAUUUAAUGAAGGUUGAACUAGCCAUUAGCUUGUAUUUUCUUUUUUCUCUUUAUAAAUAUCUCUUGUGGUUUGCAUUAUUCAGUAAUCUAAUUGUGUCUACUUUUGAGGUAUUACCACUUGAAAAUAACAGUCAAAGUAAAUGAUAGAGAUGUACCAAAUUAUUAUAAUAGAGGUGCUACAGGAAUUCAUAGAACAGAAAAAAACACAAGGAGCAAAUUUAUAUAAUAAUGAUGCCUGAGGAACUAUUAGUAUUGAAGUCUAACAAAUUUAUCUACUCACUGAAUACUACAGUGUUGAAUAGCUUCAGGCUACUGUUGAUAUUUUUUAACUCCACAGGUGACCUGCCAUUGGGUAACUGGCCUUUUAACGGGAAUUGGAUUCAGCCUAACUACUGAUAUCAUUUUGGAAGUAAACUACUGUUUACUUCCAAAAUGCUAUAGUAAUUUCACUUAUUAAAAUGCAGUAAUCACCUCACAUUAAAUGGCAAAUUAAAAAAAAAUAGAAAAGUAAAAUAAAA